UUUGUUUUAAUUAAUUGACUUAUGAAAUUCGGUUUUUUGGUUCGGUUUGGUUUAAACUUCAUGAGACCAAAACUCGAACCAAAAAUCAAAUUUACAAUUCGGUUUGGUCUCAAACCAAACCAAAAACCGAAUUUGAAUAUGGUUCGGUCUGAAAUCGAUUUCGGUUCGAUUUGGUUUUCGGGUUUUUUGGUUCCGGACCAAAUAAUUCCCACCCCUACAACCCACCCUCGCUCUCCACCACCGAUUGUCCCUACAGUUCAGUUGAUGUCUCCAAUUUUCUUCUUUUUCUUCUUUCUUUCUCCCUCUCUGUUUGAUUCAAUAAAAUUGGUUCGACUCUUCAAAAAAAUCUUCAUUGGGUGUUUCUUCAUUUUGCAUAGCGUAUUGGAUUGAUAAUCGUUGUUAACCUUGAUGCAGAUUUUGGGGUUGGGUUUUAAAGUAUUAACAACGAUUUUGUUUUUUGUAAACCAUAAUUUGAGGUUUAACUUAGGGUAAGUUUGUAAGUUGGAAAAAGAGCAGAAAAUCGAACAUGUAUUGACAUUAGAUUACCAUGGUUGCUUAUUAAGUAUAACAUAAUUUUAUAACCUUGAAUCUCUUUGCAGAUGGAGAUAGAAUUGAAUGAGAUAAAGCGUUAAAGAGACCUUGCAGAAUCACUACUAGAAAUAGGGCAGUUGCUUUAGAUGGCUUUGUGAAGGUGGGCCUGACAAUGUGCACUUGAAAUCAAAUAUGCUUAUGAACAUGUUUGGGAGACUUGAAACUACGGGCUUCACAAUGCCAAACAAUACAAUGGAGAUGUGGUCGGGUCGCCAAUACACACGACCGAGUGUGACCCUGGAAUGAAUGAUUUCGAUGUUGGUAUGAAAGAAUAAACAACUGCUUCUGAGGACAAAGCAGCAGAUGGGAUAGACCUUAAAAAUGAAAAAAAAGGAGAAAUUUACAAAUUUGUUCCCGGUAGACUUCACUGGAAGAGGAGGACUUGGAGAAUGCCAAAUUUAUUUCCUACCUUUGAUGUUGAAUAUUAGGCAACAAAAUUAGAUCCAGGAAACCCGCAGCGGACCAUGUUCUUGCUCAACUGAAAAUACAUUGCUAUUCAAACAUUUUUUCCUCCUGAAUAAUCAAUCAACCAUGUAGUGCAGAGUCACUUUUCUAGUUGUA